rnacentral:lncRNA from 1 species
CAAGAAAAACAUAGAGUCAAUAUCACGAAAGCUUGUUUGAUGCAAUUACAGCAGAACUAUAAGCAUUUAUAGAUAUAUUGACGUAGAAGUAUCUCAACUAAGUACAUACAAGUUUACCCUUAAGAAUACCUUCAUUGGAACAAAAUUAACCUAACAAUAACUAAUAAAAUUGUCCAUCCGAUAGUUAAGGGUCUUAGAUACAACUUGUAAAGUUAUCCUCCCUUGCAAUUUACAGGCCAGUGAUAAAGUUGAAAUCAAUCAUUGUAGAUCAAAUUUCUUGGAGUUUUAGAGAUCAAACUCUCAACGUAUUGAAGCAUAACUCCCUAGAAAAUGAAAAAAUUAAGAAGAUUGAAAGGAUGACUCCAUUAACACACAAAUAAUCCUCAAGCACCAUUGUUUUUCAUCAAAGGGCAAUGAUCCCCUGUGGGAAGUCACCUAGAAUAAAAAUCGAGGGCGUAAGAAGAUCAGAUACCAUCCAAACAAAAAAAUUGAAUACGAAAAAGUAAAAAUGUCCAUGUAAAACUACAAUCUCGUUUAGAGGGGCAACCCAAUUCAGGCUCAGAAGUUGAAACUACUGUAUUAACAACCCAAAGGAGAAGUUAAGCAAUUUAACAACACAACAUAGUACUGACAAUCAAUUGUUUACUCAAAUUUCAGCAGUAAGAAAGGUAUUUAUAGUAAAUUUAUGAAGUAUUUUGAUGGUAUCCAUCUUCUUUUUCAAUUUGUAACUGUUUGCUAACUUGUAGAUUGAUGGAAUCACACUUGGAAAAGGAAUGAAUUUCAAAUAUGAAGUUUUGAAGAUCCACUCUGCCAUACAUGUAAAUAUUACCAUCAUAAGCAGCAACCAAAUUAAUCAUAAAGUAGUAAUACUAAUAAUUUAUCUGUGCAGGUCAAAUUUUUGAUAACAAAUGAGAGAGCACUUACAUGUGAAGAGAAGUGCAACCACGCUUGAGAGGCAAAACUCUUUUAGCGCCAGAUGUGUAGAUACCUAUAAUUUCUAAUGAUCAAAGUAUGAGCACCUAAUCCAAAAAAAUGUGUACAAUCAAGUAAAUUUUAUGUAUUUCGAUAAACAACACACAAAUUUAACAGCCAAGGAGAUAAUUUCCAUGAAAUUGUUUGGGGAAAGAUCACAUCUGUUAUUUCUGGAAAAAGCUCCACGAAUAUGUUCACUCUUCAACUUUAUCACCUCUGUCAACAACAACAACAACAUACCCAGUGUAGUCCCACAACUUGAUUGUCUAUGUCAAAUAGAGAUAUAUAUGUUUUCUCUCCACACUUAAGAAUCCAAAUGAACCAAAAGGAAAAAUCAGCUAGUAAAAAUUUGAAUUAUCUUUCAUGAAAUGUUUAAAUAACAAAUUUACUAAAGUAUUCUUGCAUAUAGAUCAAGUAUUAACCAUAUUUCUAGUGAGUUGCUGAGACUCGCACACAAAGGGAGAAUCAUGUUCAUCUAUGUCAUUACAAACAUACAGAGCAUCAAACUAUGAACACAAUGCUUUUGUGUCAUGAAUUUGUAGAUGCACUUCUCCUUGUUCUUUUGGUAAUCUUCACUGAAGAGUUGCUUUUCUUAUGAAAGCUUUUCAUUCAUCGAAAAUAUCUAUAUUCUUAAUAAAUAAAGGUACCAAUAUCUCAAAUAAUAAGAUAACACUUGUAUUGUUGAUGUGGCUUUCUAUCAUGUGUUUUGAGUUUAACCACAGGUUCUAAACUUCAUAAGACAGGUUAAUUCUCUUGCAAAAAUAAUUGAGAUGGCGUAAGAGGCUAGGGUAUAAAACUCAAAGGAUUGCUAACGUGGUGAACUCCCAGGAAGACACUUAAGGAACAUAAUAACAAAAGAACUAUGAUCAAAAUAAGAGUAUAGUUUUCUCCAAAAAUUCCAAUAAACUUAAAUUAUCAAGAACAAACACAAAACAAAAAAAGAUCCAUAAACAUAAUAAAGAAGCCUAAAGUUAUAGUUUAUCAAUAAAAUAAAAUAAAAAGCCUGAAGUAAUGACUGAAGAUUAUCCUAAGAUAGAGCAAGCUAAUAAAAUAAUGCAUAGUGAUAACUCGACAACCAUAAAUAAGAGAGAACAAAGAAUUCUGACUUGCAUGUUUUAGUAAAUAUUUCAUCAAAUAUAACAAAACAAAAGGCCACAAGGAGUCAUUAGGAUUAUUUGCUAAGGAGACCUAUGACUGGGAGGAUUCUCUAUUUGGUUAAUCAGUUGUACUAAUGCUUCGAUUGCAAAUGAAUUAUCUUACAUGUAAAGUCUAAGACAAAUUUAAAAGAUGAUAUGUUAGAAGCUCAAGUAAAGUCUAGUUGCAAAAUAUAGAUAAGUAGGAAGAUAAAUUUAAUAGUAGAAUAAUCAAUUACCUUUUAUUUGUCUAUAAUGUGCACGAUAACAUGGACAUUGGGUAGGUUAACAGCAAGCCAGUAUCUCACGGAUCAAAUUGCAAGCGGUGUUAAAUUUACCUGGACACAGAUCCACAACUAAAUCUUGAUAUCCUCACGGGUGGUCUCUAUUGCAGGUAACAAAAUCUUCUAUCGACGGUUAAAAAUGGACUUGAAAGUAACAGACUAUCACUAUGAGCUACUCUAGUAGUCAAACCUGAUAAAACCUGAAACCUUAGGAUAAACAUCUCGAAAUUCGACCAUUACAUAUGCAAUCGAGCUAACUGCAGAGGCAGAGGAGAACUUCCCUAAAAAUCCUAGAAUGCAUCAUCUGACCAGUAAUGACAAUAAUAUGAUUUCUCUUGAGCUCCUUAGGAAGUUGGUCGUGGAAUUCAACAAAAAAAUAAAGUGAAAACUUAAACGACGACGAUCCUUAAAGCUUCAAACUUCAUAGCAAAGCCUGAUAAGUCUAUGAAUGACUAAUAUUGUCUUAAAUUGAAAUAAACUCAGGGAUAAACAACAAGCAUGAACAAAGAGAGCUUACAAAAUAGUUAUAUUUUUUGCUCUUCGCAACUGAGACUGUGAAUUAUCAUCAAGAUCUUUAUGAGUUUUGUCGUGAAGCCAAUUUCAAUUUUACUUUGAGAAUCAAGACUCCAUUUUCCAUAUGCAGUGUAUCUGUUUACAAAGCAAUAGUUAUGAUCAAUCUAAAUAGCAUAGUCUUUUAAAAUGCUUAGAAGAACUAGUCAUUUCCCCUUCAAUUGAGAUUUGAGGCUAACAUCUGAUAUUUACCAGCUAAAGUUAACAAUAUGCCUUCUUUUAUAAGAAAUACUGAAGCAAUGUAUUUGAAACCUCUCCGAGGAAAUAAAAUCAUAUUCCCAGUGAAAUCAAGUUACAUCCAAGUGAC